AUUGGACGCUGGCGGCAUGCCUUACACAUGCAAGUCGAACGGCAGUACGGGUGCUUGCACCUGGUGGCGAGUGGCGAACGGGUGAGUAAUACAUCGGAACGUACCUUAUCGUGGGGGAUAACGCAGCGAAAGCUGUGCUAAUACCGCAUACGCCCUGAGGGGGAAAGCGGGGGAUCGAAAGACCUCGCGCGAUUAGAGCGGCCGAUGCCUGAUUAGCUUGUUGGUGGGGUAAAAGCCCACCAAGGCGACGAUCAGUAGCUGGUCUGAGAGGACGAUCAGCCACACUGGGACUGAGACACGGCCCAGACUCCUACGGGAGGCAGCAGUGAGGAAUUUUGGACAAUGGGGGCAACCCUGAUCCAGCAAUGCCGCGUGAGUGAAGAAGGCCUUCGGGUUGUAAAGCUCUUUUGUCAGGGAAGAAACAGCAGCUCUAACACAGUUUGCGAAUGACGGUACCUGAAGAAUAAGCACCGGCUAACUACGUGCCAGCCGCCGCAGUAA
rnacentral:rRNA from 1 species